rnacentral:rRNA from 1 species
GGACGAACGCUGGCGGCGUGCCUAACACAUGCAAGUCGAGCGGGACUUGCGACUGAGUUGAAGACUUCGGUCGAAUAUGAAGAUGUAAAGUUCUAGCGGCGGACGGGUGAGUAACGCGUGAGCAACCUGUCCCUUACAGGGGGAUAACACAGCGAAAGUUGUACUAAUACCGCAUGAGACCACAGUAUCACAUGGUACAGGGGUCAAAGGAGCAAUCCGGUAAGGGGUGGGCUCGCGUCCGAUUAGAUAGUUGGUGAGGUAACGGCCCACCAAGUCGACGAUCGGUAGCCGACCUGAGAGGGUGAUCGGCCACAUUGGGACUGAGACACGGCCCAAACUCCUACGGGAGGCAGCAGUGGGGAAUAUUGGGCAAUGGGGGGAAACCCUGACCCAGCAACGCCGCGUGAGGGAAGAAGGUUUUCGGAUCGUAAACCUCUGUCCUUGGUGAAGAGGAAGAGACGGUAGCCAAGGAGGAAGCCCCGGCUAACUACGUGCCAGCCGCCGC